GGUCCCGGAUAUAAAAUCAUGCUCUCACCAAUGGGAACACAAGUACACAUGCAGGAAUUUGCCCCCAAUAGCAGGAUUCCUUUUUUGCCUAAUGUCAAGAUUGCGAUGCCUCCUCUAGUGUUAUUUAUAAUCUCUAUGAUUCUAUUAAAUCCUAUUGACUUCCACAAAUUCCUUACUCUUCAAGAAAUUACUUCCUUGAAAAUUCCUUUGUUCUAAAAAAAGGAAGGACUUUGUGAAAGUCUACAGGUCAUGCUAUGCACAUUUUUAAUGAUUUGCAUUAUUCAGAUAGAUGCAGGUUUAUUGGCAAUUUUAGCAUGACCAGUUGUCAUGGCUAGCUUGCCACUGAAUACUGUACAAUAACAUGUAUAACAAACAAUAAUACUUGAAUGAAUCAUUGGAUAUGUAGAAUUUAAUUAAAAUUUCAUACAUAAAAAUACUACCAGUAAGGGCCUGUUCAUAUGGGCAAAAGUUAUCCGUGUUAGCGAGAAAACUUUUCAACAAGUUUACAAGCGAGAUCUCACCUUGGUAUGAAAAUAAUAUGAAAAGUUACAUUGCGUUCAUAUGAGACAACAACUUUUUCCGUGUACCGAGAUCUCGGUGACCGGGAUAAUGUUUUUCCCAUAUGAACACAACUUUCCCGCUUAGCGGGAUAACUUUCUGUUGUGUCAGCAACUUUUCAAUUCAAUUCAUGUUCAGCGCUACGUCACAGCCGGAAACUUUACCCGGUAAGCGAGGUAAAGUUUCUCCAUGUGAACAGAACAAAAGUAUUUGGCUAGUCGAAAAGUUUUCUCCUUAGGCCCUGUUCACAUGAACCCGGGACAGCGUUAUGUCUCGGGGCAAGCAAUUGUCGCGGGACAAAAAUUGUCUUGUGUGAAAGAAUAGUGCUGUUCACAUGAUAUUUUACUUGUCCUGGGACAAGAAUUGACCCGAGUGCCUCACUUCUGUAGACAGGGACACUCGCCUUGCUGGGACAACUUUUCCUCAUGUGAACACUGUCCCGGGAUAAUUGAAUUUUGGUGAAACGAUCAAAAUCGCGGCUAAAAUUACAUUUAGAGCACGUUGGACUCCACAACAACUUGUUAUUUGAAGAUAUCAUUAGAAAUCUAUAAGUGAUGAUUCUAAAAAUAUUGAAAUAAAAUUGUCGCUAAUAUCAUGUAGUAUGUUACUCAAAGAAUUUGAUCUGGUCAACCAGAAACAAUGAAUUGAGCACAUUUUAUUACGGCUGAUAAUCAACUAGUACGUUCUAUUCGUAAAUAUCAUAACAAAAAAUAACGACUUGCAUUUAUCAGAAUGUUUUUUUAUUUAGCAAUAUUUCACUGUUUCCCGUUGGCGGGAAUAUUUUAUGAUUCCCGCGUAAUGUAUUUAUAGGCAUGACCCGCGCUAGCUUUGUUCAUGUGAACAGAAGAUAUCAGUACCCCGGGUCAAUGACUUGUCGCGGGGCAGUUGUUUAUCCCGGGAUCAUGUGAACAGGGCCUUAAACCGAGAUAACUUUUGCCCAUAUGAACAGGCCCUUUGAAGUCAGUUUUGUCCCAACUACUGUAUCAUUUUAAUGGCACCUUCAAGGCUAUCCCUACUGUAGAACAACUGAACAAUGAAUCUGCCAAUCGGGAGACAAAAUCUAUUUUGUUGACAUUUUUGUUUAAUCCAUCAGCUUCAGAUGACCAUUAUUUGUAAUGACUAUAUAUAUAAUAAGAAAGAAAUUGUGAGCAUUAUUAUAUACAAUUGUGUGUUCCAAUGUGGGCAUCAUACUGCUCGAUUUAAUAGUAGUCAUCGCACCAGGAAAAUAAAACAAUUGCAAAUGGCCACUAUCGAAAUUGUCCCAGGUCAUGACUAUUAAGACCAGUAUUUCUCGCAGGCAUCAAGCCUUGAGACUUCAUUAUGCAUAAGUUAUUUGAUAUACAGUAAAGCCCCACCAGUAGGUUAAGAACCA
rnacentral:lncRNA from 1 species